rnacentral:tRNA from 1 species
GGGGUCGUAGCUCAGUUGGGAGAGCGCCUCGAUGGCAUCGAGGAGGUCAGGGGUUCGAUUCCCCUCGACUCCA